AUGAGCCUUGGCAUGACGCUGGUGCUCUUCCUGACGGAAGACGCGGAGCUGCGCGCCGGCGAGGGCCGCUCCUUGACGGGCGUCCUCUCCUCGAAGCUGAGCGCGAUGGGCCUGACGACCUUGGGCGACGCCGCCGUGGCGCCACCAUGGUUCUCGGGGCCCCAGGAGCCUCUGCGCGGCGCGGCGGGCUUCCUGGCGAGGGGCUCGGGGGUGCCGACGACGAGCGGGUGGCGGCCGGGGAUCGGCCUGGCGCCGACGACGACGGGGACGGGGGAGCCGGGGUCGAGGCGGUCGACGUGGAGGAACUGGCCGAGGCUGAGCUUGUUGGCGAGGACGAGGUCGGCCUGGGCCGGCGGCAGCGUGGCGUAG
rnacentral:rRNA from 1 species